GCGAAGAACCUUACCUGGUCUUGACAUCCACAGAACUUACCAGAGAUGGCUUGGUGCCUUCGGGAACUGUGAGACAGGUGCUGCAUGGCUGUCGUCAGCUCGUGUUGUGAAAUGUUGGGUUAAGUCCCGCAACGAGCGCAACCCUUUAUCCUUUGUUGCCAGCGGUCCGGCCGGGAACUCAAAGGAGACUGCCAGUUAUAAAAGUGGAGGAAGGUGGGGAUGACGUCAAGUCAUCAUGGC
rnacentral:rRNA from 1 species